UAUGCGUGUGCAAGAGGCUUUAUGCGUGUGCAAGAGGUGUAAUGCGGUUGCAAGAGGCGUAAUGCGUGUGCAAGAGGCGUUAUGCGUGUGCAAGAGGCGUUAUGCGUGUGCAAUAGGCAUUAUGCGUGUGCGUGGCGGCUGCAUUACCUGUUAUUUCUAUUUUCAAUACAUGUGACAAUGAGAAGCACAAGGAAUUGAACCUCUUUUCCUAUGUAUAAAUACUAGGGAUGCACCGAUACCGAUACUUCGUUAAAAUACUCGUACUCGUACUCGUUUUGAAUUGCCGAUACCAAGCACCGAUACCACUCAUCAGUAUUUCACUGCAUCAAACUGGCCGGGCUAUGCUGACACAAAAUGUGAUUUAUUGUCCUACCUGUCCUACCACUCUCUGCCAGACUACAGGUAAUGGGAAGCAGGUGUACAACAGGUGUACCCCAUGAUUGGAUGGGCUACAAAAGCCCUGAUAAGAUGGCAGUCGGGAGAGCUUUGGAUUGGUCGUUGGAUAUGGAUAGAGA
ensembl:lncRNA